rnacentral:rRNA from 1 species
GACGAACCGUGCGAACGUUGUUCGGAAUCACUGGGCUUAAAGGGCGCGUAGGCGGCUUGCCAAGUCAGUGGUGAAAUCCUGCAGCUUAACUGCAGAAGUGCCUUUGAUACUGGCGAGCUCGAGGGAGGUAGGGGUAUGUGGAACUUCUGGUGGAGCGGUGAAAUGCGUUGAUAUCGGAAGGAACGCCGGUGGCGAAAGCGGCGUGCUGGACCUUUUCUGACGCUGAGGCGCGAAAGCCAGGGGAGCGAACGGG